UUUGGAAUAUUUAGGGCUAAGUUCUUAGUUUUUGACAUCAUAAAAAUGUCAAAGUAUUCUGUUCUAAGAGCCAUUUCAAACAACUGACUAGAAUUUCAGAGCAAUUACAUGAGAGUAAUACCAUUAAAAUGUUUAAAUUACCCAUAGUCCUAUAUCCCUAACAAGUAUGUUCACGCUUGCAUGUCCUCUUCUCAUCUUUACUGUGUGCAUACUUAGUAAUGGCACGUAGACAUUGUUUAAGCAGGAAUAAUUCUCGAGAUAAUUUUGUAUGUUUCCUUUUUUCUUUUUAAGGUAGGUAUUGGGUGGAGGAGCAUUAUAUUUGCAACUUCUCGCAAAACACGUGAUUAUUUUCUUAUAAUAUUCAAUUUUCACCCUCAAUACAGUGUUUUGAUUAUGUAAGUUAGACAGAAAGUAGAAGGUUCUCUUAGAGAAAUUUUAGUGUUUUUUUUCAUAGCUCCUACUUUCAAGAAUGAAAAAGGUAAACCAGUAAAAUGACACUGUACUUGGUGCUGCAUCUAUGCUGGGAUAGGCAUUAAGAGUGACCUUUAUUUAAGGUUCUAAUUUGCUCAUGUUGGGCACUUAGAACGUCAGUUUGUUGCUUUUUGUGAGAUUUUGGAAAUGGUCCAAUUUUACUUUUUCCCCUUGACUCCAGACUUUUUAACACUGAUCUGCUGCUGUUGAGGCAUAUGCCGUUUUGUUAGGCCUCCUCAAGUGGGAAUCAGGAAUGCUGCUGUGUUCCAGAGAGGUUUUGUUCUUCCUGUAGGGCUGAAGCAGUGCCUACUCAAUAGAACCAGUCAUCGUGCAAAGACAUGCCACCUGACUCAAAGGCAAAGCCAGAGUGCAGCUUGGAGCAAAGAAGUUUGUGUUGAAGGAGAAACUAACAACGAAAAUGGACUUGUUGACGGAAGAAAAGUAGGAAUGCAGCCUCUGGUGCUGUUUGAGUGAUCCCUCUGCCCCAGGCCUGGCUGCGCGCUGCUGUGUUCUGGAAAGGCGCAUUGUGCCCUCGCUGUGGCAGGUAAGAGUCCUGUACAGGUGCUCUGCCCACUUUACCUUUCAGGCUUCUGUAUCAGCUGUUUUUCCCUUGUAGAAUGUGCCCCUGACCUGUGCCCCUGACUUCCACCCCUUAACCCUGCCCAAUACAUCUUUACAUGUCUGACCAUCAAGACUCUUCUGGGUCAUAUUCAGUUCAUGCUGAUAUUUUCCCUUCCUCCCCUCUUUAGUCCUUACUAUUUUUGCUUUGGUCAUGUUAUGCUAUAUUCUGUAAGCCUUUAAAAAUUUUGUUGUAUCAUGGCAGGGGAGAAUAUUUUAUAAUUAUGCUUUGUGCGUUUUAUCUUCCACUCAAUGAAUGCUUGGUAAAUAUUUGUUUUAUUGAGUAUAUGACCCUUUUCUAGCUAUACCGUGAACAAAAAUGUUAACUGCCUUGUACGUUAACUGCUAAGAAUUUGUCAAAAGUGCAGAGAUGACAUCCAGAACUUGUCAGAAUAUUACAAAAAGGUCUCUAAGGGCAUGAUGGAGGUCUGUAAAUUGACUUCAUGUGAAAGAGUGUAAGAAGUGAAAAUGUGAAGCAUGACUGGAGAGCCGGAGUGAUAAAGCAAGGGUCCCUUUCUCUAGAUCCUUUGUAACAGUGUCAUGUGACCUCUUCUAGAUCAUUCUGAAAGACAAUGCCAGCUCGGAACCUAGGAAAGCAUCCAGUGGGUUUCUGCAUGUUAGGUGGUUCAAAUCCUCAUUAGCACCUUUGUUUUCUCUGCCUCAGUUUGCUUACAGUGAUGUUCUCAGUAGCUGUAAUUGCUGUCUGUCUUUGAAUAUUUAAGCAUUUUUUUUUUUUAGAUCACAGGGUAUAUGUGCAUUUUUAUUUUACCAAGUGUUAGAAUUUUUACUCUGCCUUUGUGGGCUCUGGGUUAGCUACUUGGCUGUUUCAUCGUAAAAUGAUUAGCAGGAAAAACUGUGUGUGUGUGUGUGUGUGUGUGUGUGUGUGUGUGUGUGUGUGCACGUGUGUAUUUUAAGUUUCUUAAUUGGGUUGGUACAUGUAAACCAUUUAGAACAGUGCCUGCUGCAUAUCACAUCCCCAUCAGUAUUCACGUCUCUCAUAUUCUACCCUCACACUUGAUUGAUAGUUUGCUUGAUUACGUAUUUCUAGGUUGAGGAUAAUUUUACCUUAGAAUUUCAAAGUCUGUGCUGUUGUCUUCUAACCAGUCGUGGUGGCGAAGCCUCAUGCCAUCCUGAGUUUCACUUGUUUAUGCAUGACUUUCUCCCUGGAAGCUUUUAGGAGUUUGUCUUUUCCUUGGUGAGCUGAAAUAGCACAACAGUGUACUUAGUGUGGGUCUUUUUUCAUUCAUUAUGCUGGGUACACCAAAUGAACAGGCCUAUGGAUAGGCUCUUUCAAAGUUGGAGUCUUGAAUCUUGUCAUAUUUUUGUUGUUAACUUUCUCUUUUCCAUUUUAUUUGUUCAUUUGGAAGUGUCUGUUAAUUGGAUUUGAGACCUCUUGUCUUGAGUCUUAUAUCUCACGUUAUUUCUAAAUGUUUUUUAAAUUUUCAGUUCUGGAAUAUUUUCUUAUCUUUCGACUUUCAGGAAAUUUUAUUUGGACUGUCAUAACUUUAAGUUUUGUUUUGGUUAUUUAUUGUUGCUUAACCAAUUAUCCCAAAACUUAAUGGCCUAAAACUACACAUCUGUCUAUCUGUCACGACUGUAUGGAUUACCUGGGGCUAGCUGGACAGUUUUUCUGCUGGUCUCAUUUGGCAGCUCUCACUGUGUGGUUAAACAGUGUCAGGGACUGGUCAUCUGGAUGCUCAGCUGCAGUGGAAUGUCUGAGACGGCUUCUUUACCCACAGGUCUGCUGCCUUGGUAAUUCUUGAUGUGGCCUUUCUCUCUGCAUAGCAUCUCAUCCUCUCGGAUCUCUUCAUGUGGCUUUUCUUUCUCCAAGAAGGUAGCCAAUUCUUAUUUUUGGCUUCCAGAAGCACAGAAAUGGAGCUGCCAGGAGUUCUUAAGGCUUAGACCUGGAACAGGUCCAGUGUCAUUUCUACCACAUGCUAUAGGUUAAAGUGAGUGUUGGGGCCAACCCAGAUUGACUAUGGGAUGGGCCUGUCUGAGGACAUGAUGACAGGAGGUAUGGCUCAUUGGAGACCAACUCCCAAGAUGGAGCAUGAGUUCUAAGAACUUUUUCUUCUCUGAUUAUUUCUUAUUCAUAUUGUUUUGUUUUAUACAUGUAAUAUAUUCACAAGUGUCUUUAUGAAGUGAUUUUGAUACUC
rnacentral:lncRNA from 1 species